AUCCCAUGAUGAGGACAUUUCCCAGAAAUUCCUUGAACCUUUCCCACGCAUCAUACAUGGAUUAUUUGUCAUUCUAAAGGAAAUUGUUUAUCUCACCCCUUAACCU